rnacentral:misc_RNA from 1 species
GUGAAGAACGUAGCGAAAUGCGAUAAGUAAUGUGAAUUGCAGAAUUCAGUGAAUCAUCGAAUCUUUGAACGCACAUUGCGCCCCCUGGUAUUCCGGGGGGCAUGCCUGUUCGAGCGUCAUUUCAACCCUCAAGCUCUGCUUGGUAUUGAGUCCAUGUCAGCAAUGGCAGGCUCCAAAAUCAGUGGCGGCGCCGCUGGGUCCUGAACGUAGUAAUAUCUCUCGUUACAGGUGCUCGGCGUGCUUCUGCCAAAACCCCAAUUUUUCUAUGGUUGACCUCGGAUCAGGUAGGGAUACCCGCUGAACUUAAGCAUAUCAAUAAGCGGAGGA